rnacentral:rRNA from 1 species
GAUGAACGCUGGCGGCGUGCCUAAUACAUGCAAGUCGAGCGAACGGACGAGAAGCUUGCUUCUCUGAUGUUAGCGGCGGACGGGUGAGUAACACGUGGAUAACCUACCUAUAAGACUGGGAUAACUUCGGGAAACCGGAGCUAAUACCGGAUAAUAUUUUGAACCGCAUGGUUCAAAAGUGAAAGACGGUCUUGCUGUCACUUAUAGAUGGAUCCGCGCUGCAUUAGCUAGUUGGUAAGGUAGCGGCUUACCAAGGCAACGAUGCAUAGCCGACCUGAGAGGGUGAUAGGCCACACGGGAACUGAGACACGGUCCAGACUCCUACGGGAGGCAGCAGUAGGGAAUCUUCCGCAAUGGGCGAAAGCCUGACGGAGCAACGCCGCGUGAGUGAUGAAGGUCUUCGGAUCGUAAAACUCUAUUAUUAGGGAAGAACAUAUGUGUAAGUAACUGUGCACAUCUUGACGGUACCUAAUCAGAAAGCCACGGCUAACUACGUG